UAGUCCACGCUGUAAACGAUGAUCACUCGCUGUUGGCGAUAUACUGUCAGUGGCUGAGCGAAAGCAUUAAGUGAUCCACCUGGGGAGUACGAUCGCAAGGUUGAAACUCAAAGGAAUUGACGGGGGCCCGCACAAGCGGAGGAGCAUGUGGUUUAAUUCGAUAAUACGCGAGGAACCUUACCUAGGCUUAAAUGCAGAACGACCUCUGCCGAAAGGUGGAUUUCUUCGGACGGACUGCAAGGUGCUGCAUGGUUGUCGUCAGCUCGUGCCGUGAGGUGUCGGGUUAAGUCCCAUAACGAGCGCAACCCCUAUUCUUAGUUACCAUCAGGUUAUGCUGGGGACUCUAAGGAAACUGCCUACGCAAGUAGUGAGGAAGUGGGGAUGACGUCAAAUCAGCACGGCCCUUAUGCCUAGGGCUACACACGUGCUACAAUGGCCGAUACAGAGGGCAGCUACCUGGCAACAGGAUGCAAAUCUCGAAAGUCGGUCUC
rnacentral:rRNA from 1 species